AAAAAGGCAAACCAUGCGUUUCCGUGUCCAACUUUGACUGUCCGUCUUAUAUGAUUUUUUUUAUAAUUCAUAUUUUCGUUGUUGUUAGAUGAUAAAACAUGAUUAAUAUUUUAUGCGUGACUUGUCUUUUUAAUUUUUUUUAUAAUUUUUUAAAAUAAGACAGACGGUCAAACGUUGGAUACGGAAACCAGGGUUUGUCUUUUU
rfam:Oryza rufipogon genomic scaffold, chr08